AGUGAACGCUGGCGGCAGGCCUAACACAUGCAAGUCGAACGGCAGCACGGCAGUAGCAAUACUGUGGGUGGCGAGUGGCGGACGGGUGAGGAAUACAUCGGGAUCUACCCUGUUGUGGGGGAUAACGUAGGGAAACUUACGCUAAUACCGCAUAAGAACUGAGGUUGAAAGCGGCGGACCGCAAGGCGUCGCGCGAUUGGAUGAACCGAUGUCCGAUUAGCUAGUUGGCGGGGUAAAGGCCCACCAAGGCGACGAUCGGUAGCUGGUCUGAGAGGACGACCAGCCACACUGGAACUGAGACACGGUCCAGACCCCUACGGGAGGCAGCAGUGGGGAAUAUUGGACAAUGGGCGCAAGCCUGAUCCAGCCAUGCCGCGUGGGUGAAGAAGGCC
rnacentral:rRNA from 1 species